rnacentral:rRNA from 1 species
UACGGGGGGGGGCAAGCGUUGUUCGGAAUUACUGGGCGUAAAGGGCGCGUAGGCGGCCUGCUAAGUCGAACGUGAAAUCCCUGGGCUCAACCCAGGAACUGCGUCCGAUACUGGUUGGCUUGAAUCCGGGAGAGGGACGUGGAAUUCCAGGUGUAGCGGUGAAAUGCGUAGAUAUCUGGAGGAACACCGGUGGCGAAGGCGACGUCCUGGACCGGCAUUGACGCUGAGGCGCGAAAGCCAGGGGAGCAAACGGG